UACGUAGGGGGCAAGCGUUGUCCGGAAUCAUUGGGCGUAAAGAGCGUGUAGGCGGCCCGGUAAGUCCGCCGUGAAAGUCCAGGGCUCAACCCUGGAAUGCCGGUGGAAACUGCCGGGCUGGAGUCCGGAAGAGGCGACUGGAAUUCCUGGUGUAGCGGUGAAAUGCGCAGAUAUCAGGAGGAACACCGGUGGCGAAGGCGGGUCUCUGGGCAGUAACUGACGCUGAGGAGCGAAAGCGUGGGGAGCGAACAGG
rnacentral:rRNA from 1 species